UACGGAAGGCAGCAGUGGGGAAUAUUGCACAAUGGGCGCAAGCCUGAUGCAGCCAUGCCGCGUGUAUGAAGAAGGCCUUCGGGUUGUAAAGUACUUUCAGUCGUGAGGAAGGUGUUAAGGUUAAUAACCUUAGCAAUUGACGUUAGCGACAGAAGAAGCACCGGCUAACUCCGUGCCAGCAGCCGCGGUAAUACGGAGGGUGCGAGCGUUAAUCGGAAUUACUGGGCGUAAAGGGCACGCAGGCGGUUAAUUAAGUUGGAUGUGAAAUCCCCGGGCUUAACCUGGGAAUGGCAUUCAAGACUGGUUAGCUAGAGUCUUGUAGAGGGGGUAGAAUUCCAUGUGUAGCGGUGAAAUGCGUAGAGAUGUGGAGGAUACCGGUGGCGAAGGCGGCCCCUGGACAAAGGACUGACGCUCAUGUGCGAAAGCGUGGGGAGCAAAC
rnacentral:rRNA from 1 species